CGGACGGGUGAGUAACGCGUGGGUAACCUGCCUUACACAGGGGGAUAACACUUAGAAAUAGGUGCUAAUACCGCAUGAGCGCACAGGACCGCAUGGUCGAGUGUGAAAAACUGAGGUGGUGUAAGAUGGACCCGCGUCUGAUUAGCUAGUUGGUGAGGUAACGGCCCACUAAGGCGACGAUCAGUAGCCGGCCUGAGAGGGUGGACGGCCACAUUGGGACUGAGACACGGACCAAACUCCUACGGAAGGCAGCAG
rnacentral:rRNA from 1 species